rnacentral:sRNA from 1 species
GGUGAUUCUAACAUUUUGAGAGUGCAAGCAAGUGGUCUAGGGUUCCUACUUGAGCUUGGUUGUCUACACUAGAGACUAGUCUAGAAAAAUCAAAUUUAAACACCGAACAGCGGAACCCUGCCUAGACUAGACUCGUUUGCAGUGCGCGGACCAACUUCCGUUCUCGCCGUCGCCACACAGAGCGUAACAGCCACCGUCAAAUCUCGCCGUCAGUCAGGUACUUUUCCUUUUCUCUCUCUCUGGUCAUCAAAGUUCAAACCCUUUCAAUGUUUGCGUUGUCAUGUGUAGUGCCUUGCAGUGUCACCACUCACC